ACAUCCUUCAACCUUUCUUGGUUUCUUGACCAGGGAAGGCUUGGACUUUGGGGGUCUUUCAUUGCUGGCCUCUUUGAAGCCAGCUCCUCCUAAAUGGAUUAGUGUGGUCUGCUUUGCCGAUCCUUGACGUGAUAAGAUGUUUCUACGUCUUGGGUUUCGCACUGUCGCUUUAGACCCCGCUUCUAACUGUCUAGUCUUGCAUUUAAGACAGAGUUUUAAACC
rnacentral:misc_RNA from 1 species